rnacentral:rRNA from 1 species
UACGUAGGGGGCAAGCGUUGUCCGGAUUUAUUGGGCGGAAAGAGCUCGUAGGUGGUUCGGUAAGUCGGAUGUGAAAUCUCCAGGCUCAACCUGGAGGGGUCAUUCGAUACUGCCGUGACUAGAGUUCGGUAGGGGAGUGUGGAAUUCCUGGUGGAGCGGUGAAAUGCGCAGAUAUCAGGAGGAACACCGGUGGCGAAGGCGGGUCUCUGGGCCGAUACUGACGCUGAGGAGCGAAAGCGUGGGGAGCGAACAGG